rnacentral:tRNA from 1 species
GACUCUGUAGCUCAGUUGGAGAGCAUGCCGCUUGCAACGCAGGGUUGUGGGUUCGAUUCCCACGGGGGACC